GACAGAGGGUGCAAACGUUGUUCGGAAUUACUGGGCGUAAAGCGCGUGUAGGCGGCCCUGUAAGUCGGGUGUGAAAUCCCACGGCUCAACCGUGGAAGUGCAUUCGAAACUACAGGGCUAGAGUUCUGGAGAGGAAGGUGGAAUGCUUGGUGUAGAGGUGAAAUUCGUAGAUAUUCGGAAGAACACCGGUGGCGAAGGCGGCUCACUGGCCCGGUACUGACGCUGAGAUACGAAAGCGUGGGGAGCAAACAGG
rnacentral:rRNA from 1 species